CGACGCCAUGUCCGGUGAUGCCGCCGUGCCGGCCAUCCGACGCACACCCCGGCCUAUGAGGCCACCUGUCGGCCCCGCAGCCGAACCCUAGCCCCGGAUCCCCUCGCCCCUUCCUCUCCACAGCCCUCGACACCGACCCGCCGCAGCGCCGCGGUCGCCGCCGCCCACGUCAUCAUGCCGCCUCGCCGCCGGCUCCGUCGAGCCUCCCUGUCCCCUCCUCUGCAACGG
rnacentral:lncRNA from 1 species